UAACGCGUAGAUAAUCUACCUUAAAGACUGGGACAACAGUUGGAAACGACUGCUAAUACCGGAUAAGCUAAACGGAAGGCAUCUUCUGUUUAGGAAAGGAGGCCUCUUAACAAUGCUCCCGCUUUUAGAUGAGUCUGCGUCUGAUUAGCUAGUUGGUGGGGUAACGGCCUACCAAGGCGACGAUCAGUAGCCGGACUGAGAGGUUGGCCGGCCACAUUGGGACUGAGAUACGGCCCAGACUCCUACGGAAGGCAGCAG
rnacentral:rRNA from 1 species